rnacentral:rRNA from 1 species
CCUACGGGUGGCUGCAGUCGAGAAUCUUCGGCAAUGGGCGCAAGCCUGACCGAGCGACGCCACGUGCGGGAUGACGGCCCUCGGGUUGUAAACCGCUGUCGGGGGGGAUGAAGUCACGGGGGGUCCUCCCCUCGUGUUGACAGAGCCCCGGAGGAAGCGCGGGCUAAGUACGUGCCAGCAGCCGCGGUAAGACGUACUGCGCGAACGUUAUUCGGAAUCACUGGGCUUAAAGGGUGCGCAGGCGGCUCCUCAAGCCCGAAGUGAAAGGUCCCGGC